rnacentral:rRNA from 1 species
GAUGAACGCUGGCGGCGUGCCUAAUACAUGCAAGUCGAGCGAACAGACGAGGAGCUUGCUCCUCUGACGUUAGCGACGGACGGGUGAGUAACACGUGGAUAACCUACCUAUAAGACUGGGAUAACUUCGGGAAACCGGAGCUAAUACCGGAUAAUAUAUUGAACCGCAUGGUUCAAUAGUGAAAGACGGUUUUGCUGUCACUUAUAGAUAGAUCCGCGCCGCAUUAGCUAGUUGGUAAGGUAACGGCUUACCAAGGCAACGAUGCGUAGCCGACCUGAGAGGGUGAUCGGCCACACUGGAACUGAGACACGGUCCAGACUCCUACGGGAGGCAGCAGUAGGGAAUCUUCCGCAAUGGGCGAAAGCCUGACGGAGCAACGCCGCGUGAGUGAUGAAGGUCUUCGGAUCGUAAAACUCUGUUAUUAGGGAAGAACAAAUGUGUAAGUAACUAUGCACGUCUUGACGGUACCUAAUCAGAAAGCCACGGCUAACUACGUG